UCUUCCUUCCCAAUACACCUCUCCUGGGAGGUUGGUUGUGUGGUGGCACUUUCACUGGAGCGGAGUCCAGCUGUGGCAACUUUCCCGAGAACAGAGCAAAACUAUAACACCUCUGCUGGUGAAACUUUGCCCUAGAGGAGCAGAGCUGUUACAUCUUUCCUGGGGAAACCCUUCCCCAACAGAGUAGAGUUGCUAACAUUUGCAUUGAGGAAACCCUUUUCCUUGGAGCAGACCUGUAAGCUGCAACAGUUACAAUGACUUCACCGGUUUUCCUUGGCUCCCGACUGCCAGGAAACAUUUCCAUCAGAGCUGCAAUGAUAACAUUUGAUGUCAUGAGUGGAAUGGGUUCUCCUGGCGCCUGUGCUGCCCAUCAUGAUCUGAGAUGCAAGGGAACCCUAGCCCUCAUCUCCAGUCCACUGGCAACAGACUCACCUUCCAGCUCACCAGUCACUCAGCACCCCAUCCACCAGCAGUAACUGGAUUUUAUACCCCAACAGAAUCAUCCAGACAAUACAAGAAUCAAAACAGUUGCAUUCCGUUUUUCAAGUGAAUGAUGAAAGGGUUUCUCUGUGUAAUAGACCUGGCUAUCCUGAGCUUGAGCUUGCUUUGUAGACCAGGCUGGCCUCGAACUCACUGAGAUCCACCUACUUCUGCCUCUCAAGCACUGGGACUAAAGACAUGCCCACCACUGACCAGCUCAGCUAUCAGCUAUGUGCCUUUGUUUUAACUUUGUUAUUAGGCUUUUCACCUCAAAGUUACUUAACUAAAACAUCUUAGUCUAAUUUUGUUAUUUUUCAAAGCUUUG